UACAGAGGGGGCAAGCGUUGUUCGGAAUUACUGGCGUAAAGGGCGCGUAGGCGGCCCGCUAAGUCGAACGUGAAAUCCCCGGGCUCAACCCGGGAACUGCGUCCGAUACUGGUGGGCUUGAAUCCGGGAGAGGGAUGCGGAAUUCCAGGUGUAGCGGUGAAAUGCGUAGAUAUCUGGAGGAACACCGGUGGCGAAGGCGGCAUCCUGGACCGGUAUUGACGCUGAGGCGCGAAAGCCAGGGGAGCAAACGGG
rnacentral:rRNA from 1 species